AGCAUUUAGUAAAAUGUGUUGUUUUUCAUGUAUUUGUAGGAACAGAAGCAAAAUGUUCCUUUUGCAAGCAGAGGGGUUUGCUUGUUAAUCUCCACGAGAACCCCAAUGGAUGUGCCAAUGCCUCUCUGUCAGCUUGUGUGCCUCACCUUUCUGUCUACAGCUGUUUGCAGCCAGCCUGAAAGAACUUUGGAGGGGCUUCCUUACAACCUCCAGAUGGACUCCCACAAUUUCCAGCACAUUUUGUCCUGGCAGGCAGACCAUGACCCAGCUGUGCCAGCAUCCUACAACGUUCUCUACAGAGACCGCAGGCAAGUCACACAAAAUAAGGCACAAAUUCUGCUUUUACUGUCUAUUGACCCAAAGAGGAGGGAGCUUUGCAGUGCCCAUCCCUCCCCUGGAGGUGGCACUGAGUGCUCUGGGCUGGGGACAAGGUGGCCA